rnacentral:rRNA from 1 species
AGAGUUUGAUUAGGGCUCAGAUUGAACGCUGGCGGCAGGCUUAACACAUGCAAGUCGAGCGGCAGCGGAAAGAAGCUUGCUUCUUUGCCGGCGAGCGGCGGACGGGUGAGUAAUGUCUGGGGAUCUGCCCGAUGGAGGGGGAUAACUACUGGAAACGGUAGCUAAUACCGCAUAAUGUCGCAAGACCAAAGUGGGGGACCUUCGGGCCUCACACCAUCGGAUGAACCCAGAUGGGAUUAGCUAGUAGGUGGGGUAAUGGCUCACCUAGGCGACGAUCCCUAGCUGGUCUGAGAGGAUGACCAGCCACACUGGAACUGAGACACGGUCCAGACUCCUACGGGAGGCAGCAGUGGGGAAUAUUGCACAAUAGGGGAAACCCUGAUGCAGCCAUGCCGCGUGUGUGAAGAAGGCCUUCGGGUUGUAAAGCACUUUCAGCGGGGAGGAAGGCAAUGGCGUUAAUAGUGUCAUUGAUUGACGUUACCCGCAGAAGAAGCACCGGCUAACUCCGUGCCAGCAGCCGCGGUAAUACGGAGGGUGCGAGCGUUAAUCGGAAUUACUGGGCGUAAAGCGUACGCAGGCGGUCUGUUAAGUCAGAUGUGAAAUCCCCGGGCUUAACCUGGGAACUGCAUUUGAAACUGGCAGGCUAGAGUCUCGUAGAGGGGGGUAGAAUUCCAGGUGUAGCGGUGAAAUGCGUAGAGAUCUGGAGGAAUACCGGUGGCGAAGGCGGCCCCCUGGACGAAGACUGACGCUCAGGUACGAAAGCGUGGGGAGCAAACAGGAUUAGAUACCCUGGUAGUCCACGCUGUAAACGAUGUCGAUUUGAAGGUUGUGGUCUUGAGCCGUGGCUUUCGGAGCUAACGCGUUAAAUCGACCGCCUGGGGAGUAUGGCCGCAAGGUU